rnacentral:rRNA from 1 species
AUUGAACGCUGGCGGCAUGCUUUACACAUGCAAGUCGAACGCCAGCGCGGGCUUCGGCCUGGCGGCGAGUGGCGCACGGGUGAGUAAUACAUCGGAACGUGCUCAGUAGUGGGGGAUAGCUCGGCGAAAGCCGGAUUAAUACCGCAUACGGACUGAGGGUGAAAGAGGGGGACUUUCGGACCUCGCGCAAUUGGAGCGGCCGAUGGCAGAUUAGCUAGUUGGUGGGGUAAAGGCCUACCACGGCGACGAUCUGCAGCUGGUCUGAGAGGACGACCAGCCACACUGAGACUGAGACACGGCCCAGACUCCUACGGGAGACAACAAGGGGAAAUUUUGGACAAUGCGCGAGAGCCUGAGCCAGCAAUGGCGCGAGUGAGAUGGAGGCCUUCGGGUUAUAGAGCACUUUUAGCGGGAACGAAAAUGACUGUGCCAAUACCACGGUUCGAGAACGGUACCCGCAAAAUAAGCACCGGCUAACUACGU